AAUAUUUCCGGCUAUUCCUUACAUACCUUACAUAUUUACAUAUGUAUACAUGCAUAUUCACAUCCUUAACGAGCUUCAUGAUGCAAUUAUACCUCCUGAAAUAUUUAAAUAGAACUUGUAAAGAUUUCUUUUGCUUUUAGAGAGGUGAAAAGGGAGAACCUGGUGUCCGAGGUGCCAUUGGAUCAAAAGGAGAAUCUGGGGUGGAUGGCUUGAUGGGGCCCGCAGGUCCUAAGGGGCAACCUGGGGAUCCAGGUCCUCAGGGACCCCCAGGUUUGGAUGGGAAGCCUGUAUGUAUUCUGCUUCUUUCACAGUUAUUACAUUUUCAUUGAUUUUUGCUCAUGUUCUUUAUGUGCAUGUUAUAACCCCUAAUACUUUGAUGCAGGGAAGAGAGUUUUCAGAACAAUUUAUUCGACAAGUUUGCACAGAUGUAAUAAGAGGUAGGUAUCAAAUAUAGCAUUUUAAUAACUUUUCUCAAAUUACAAAAGUAAUACAAAUUCUUAGGACAUAUUGUAGAGGAUAUAAGUGAGGUGAAGAAGAAAACAGAUAACAUUUAUAAGCCUCAUCUACUUUUCUUCAAUGAGUAUUUUUAUAAAGAUUUAUCAUAUAUACUCUUUUAUAAUCUUUUUAAUAAAGACAUUUAUUAUUUUGCCAUUAUUUGAAUUUUCUUUUGUAGCAUAUUUUUUGAUAAUUUAGUUCAUAAAUAUGGAUAUAGUCCACCAAUUUCUUUUGGGGGCACUUUCACUUUUUCUCCUAUUUUAAGCAAUUGCUCUAAUAAAAUUACCGCACAGAGCAAUGAAUAUUUCCAUAGUCAAAUUCCUAGAAGUGAAAUUAUUGGCCAAGAAAUAUGCACAUAUUCAAUGUUCAUAGUUUUUUCUCUGUAAACUGAAAAAAAAUUAAAAAUAUAAUUAACACCAACUCACCAUUUAAACAUAAGGGAUGGGGUUUCUUUGUUUUUGAAAGCCCAGCUACCAGUCUUACUUCAGAGUGGAAGAAUUAGAAAUUGUGAUCAUUGCCUGUCCCAACAUGGCUCCCCGGGUAUUCCUGGGCCACCUGGUCCGAUAGGCCCAGAGGGUCCCAGAGGAUUACCUGGUUUGCCAGGAAGAGAUGGUGUUCCUGGAUUAGUGGGUGUCCCUGGACGUCCAGGUGUCAGAGGAUUAAAAGGCCUACCAGGAAGAAAUGGGGAAAAAGGGAGCCAAGGGUUUGGGCAUCCUGGAGAACAAGGUCCUCCUGGUCCCCCAGGUCCAGAGGGCCCUCCUGGAAUAAGCAAAGAAGGUCCUCCAGGAGACCCAGGUCUCCCUGGCAAAGAUGGAGAUCAUGGAAAACCCGGAAUCCAAGGGCAACCAGGCCCCCCAGGCAUCUGCGACCCAUCACUAUGUUUUAGUGUAAUUGCCAGAAGAGAUCCGUUCAGAAAAGG
rnacentral:sRNA from 1 species